UACGUAGGGGGCUAGCGUUGUUCGGAAUUACUGGGCGUAAAGCGCGCGCAGGCGGCCAUUCAAGUCAGGGGUGAAAGCCCAGAGCUCAACUCUGGAACUGCCUUUGAAACUGUUCGGCUCGAGUACGGGAGAGGUGAGUGGAAUUCCCAGUGUAGAGGUGAAAUUCGUAGAUAUUGGGAAGAACACCGGUGGCGAAGGCGGCUCACUGGCCCGUUUCUGACGCUCAUGCGCGACAGCGUGGGGAU
rnacentral:rRNA from 1 species